UUGAAAACAAUGUGGCUUUCAAACAAGGAGAAAACCGAAUUGGGCUUUAAACAGGUCCUAUUCCUGGAGAAAGGUACCUGGGAAAGGAGCCUUCCACCAGACCCGUCUCUGUUUCUGGCUGUCAGAGUUCCAGUCUUCUGAAUUAAACCAAAGGCACAGGAAGUACAGCUGCCAAGACCUCCACUAAGACAAUCAUGUGAAUAAGUGGGCCAGACAUUAUGCUGAAUAUUGGAGAUACAGAGAUGAAAGGAAAAAGACUCUUAGUUUCCACCCUCAAGAAGCUCAUUAAUUCCAUGCACGCUGCACUGUUCCAGCACAGUCCACAUAUUGUGUGGCUGCGUUAAAACAAGGCGAUCUGACUUUGUGAAGUUUUAAAUGAGGAAGUGUAUAAUGAACAUAAUUUAAAUUGCAUGGCCCCUAAUUUGCUACUGUAUAUAGAAGGAAAACGAAAGCUCUUUCUAAAUUUUGUGGGGCUGACCACGGCUGAAAACCUUUGGCCUACUUCAAAAAAUACCCAGUUCCUGCCGUCUGAUGCCUGCUAGCAUAAUUGAGUUUCUAGAACACUCGGCAUGCUGUCUGGAAGCCCAUGGGUGAAGCUGACUGUUGACUAGGACCUCAGUUGAGCUGUUUUCUGGAACAUCUAUAUGUCACAUCAGCAGUGGUCCCCUUGAAUGAGCUUAUUUGGAUUUCUUUUCUGCAUGGCAGCUAGAUGAAAAUGCACUGAAAAAGAACACAACACACCUAUUUUUAUUUAAAAAGAAAAGCAUCUCAGGCGUCACCCAGUGAUGAAUCCAAAGAGAAGUAGGAGGAAGAAGUAAAUGGAGAUAAUAGGACAGUAAUGAUCAAAUGAAAUAAUAUAUCAGUAAUGUGUCUACAAUCAUUUAUCAGAGAUCCUGGUUCUUUGUUUCACCUCCAAAAUUUCUGUUGACACCUAAAUCCUUAUCUCAGGGUCUGCUUCUUAGGGAUCCUAAACAAGAAAACCACAGACAAGGUCAAAACAACCACAGACAAGACCCCCCAACUCCUGGACUGAAGGUGAAAGAGGAAAAAGGAAGAAGUUUUUCCUCCCAACAGAGUUGUCCUCAUACACUCUGGCUUUGUUAGUGCAACAGCGGGAAGCUGCAAUCAAGUGCAGUUCUCCCUGCAAUAAAUUAUCUUCACUGUGUCGGGAGAGUGAAAGAGAGACAAAAAGACAGAGAGAAACAUCGAGUGAGAG